UUUGGCGACCAUAGCAUUGCGGACCCACCUGAAUCCAUUCCGAACUCAGAAGUGAAACGUAAUAGCGCCGAUGGUAGUGUGAGGCUUCCUCAUGCGAGAGUAGGACAUCGCCAGAU
rnacentral:rRNA from 1 species